CGCUGGCGGCGUGCCUAAUACAUGCAAGUCGAACGGUCUUUCUAUGGAAGCUUGCUUCCACUGAGAAGAUAGUGGCGAACGGGUGAGUAACACGUGGGUAACCUGCCCAUAAGAGGGGGAUAACAUCCGGAAACGGGUGCUAAUACCGCAUAGUUUUCUUGAUCGCAUGAUUGAGAAAGGAAAGACGGCCUUUGUGCUGUCGCUUAUGGAUGGACCCGCGGCGUAUUAGUUAGUUGGUGAGGUAACGGCUCACCAAGACGAUGAUACGUAGCCGACCUGAGAGGGUGAUCGGCCACAUUGGGACUGAGACACGGCCCAAACUCCUACGGGAGGCAGCAGUAGGGGAUCUUCCGCAAUGGACGAAAGUCUGACGGAGCAACGCCGCGUGAGUGAAGAAAGGUUUUCGGAUCGUAAAACUCUGUUGUCAGAGAAGAACAAGUUGGAGAGUAACUGCUCCAGCCUUGACGGUAUCUGACCAGAAAGCCACGGCUAACUACGUGCCAGCAGCCGC
rnacentral:rRNA from 1 species